AACGCACAUUGCGCCCUCUGGUAUUCCAGAGGGCAUGCCUGUUUGAGCGUCAUUUCUCUCUCAAACCUUCGGGUUUGGUAUUGAGUGAUACUCUUAGUCGAACUAGGCGUUUGCUUGAAAUGUAUUGGCAUGAGUGGUACUGGAUAGUGCUAUAUGACUUUCAAUGUAUUAGGUUUAUCCAACUCGUUGAAUAGUUUAAUGGUAUAUUUCUCGGUAUUCUAGGCUCGGCCUUACAAUAUAACAAACAAGUUUGACCUCAAAUCAGGUAGGAUUACCCGCUGAACUUAA
rnacentral:misc_RNA from 2 species